rnacentral:sRNA from 1 species
CGGAAGUGCCUUUUCGGAGCCGGGUCCGAUUAAUGCGUGAGAACAUCAAUCAUCCCAGCUCAGAGGGCACUUUCCUCAUUCCGACACUCGAUGAACAGCUAAUUCAUCCGUGGAUUCAG